GAGUUUGAUCGUGGCUCAGAUUGAACGCUGGCGGUAUGCUUAACACAUGCAAGUCGAACGGUAACAGGCUAGCUUGCUAGCGCUGACGAGUGGCGGACGGGUGCGUAACGCGUAGGAAUCUGCCUAUUAGUGGGGGACAACCUGGUGAAAACCAGGCUAAUACCGCAUACGCCCUACGGGGAAAGGCAGGGGAUCUUCGGACCUUGCGCUAAUAGAUGAGCCUGCGUUAGAUUAGCUUGUUGGUGAGGUAAUGGCUCACCAAGGCGACGAUCUAUAGCUGGUCUGAGAGGACGAUCAGCCACACUGGGACUGAGACACGGCCCAGACUCCUACGGGAGGCAGCAGUGGGGGAAUAUUGGACAAUGGGCGGAAGCCUGAUCCAGCAAUACCGCGUGUGUGAAGAAGGCCUGAGGGUUGUAAAGCACUUUCAUUAGGAGGAAAACAGGCAGGUUAAUAUCCUGUCUCUUGACAUUACCUUUAAGUAAGAAGCACCGGCCU
rnacentral:rRNA from 1 species